UACGUAGGGUGCGAGCGUUGUCCGGAAUUAUUGGGCGUAAAGGGCUCGUAGGCGGUUUGUCGCGUCGGGAGUGAAAUCCACUGGCUUAACUGGUGGCUUGCUUUCGAUACGGGCAGACUGGAGGUAUGCAGGGGAGAACGGAAUUCCUGGUGUAGCGGUGAAAUGCGUAGAGAUGUGGAGGAACACCGAUGGCGAAGGCAGCCCCCUGGGCUAACACUGACGCUCAUGCACGAAAGCGUGGGGAGCAAACAGG
rnacentral:rRNA from 1 species